rnacentral:ncRNA from 1 species
UGCCGCGGGCGAGGCUGUGAACCGUCAGGCGAUUUGGUCGCCGAGGCCUGACGGGGAGCCAGUGGCGAAACCGACGUCCCUGGGG